UACGUAGGGUGCAAGCGUUGUCCGGAAUUAUUGGGCGUAAAGAGCUCGUAGGCGGUCUGUCGCGUCGGAUGUGAAAAUCCAGGGCUCAACCCUGGACCUGCAUUCGAUACGGGCAGACUAGAGUUCGGCAGGGGAGACUGGAAUUCCUGGUGUAGCGGUGAAAUGCGCAGAUAUCAGGAGGAACACCGGUGGCGAAGGCGGGUCUCUGGGCCGAUACUGACGCUGAGGAGCGAAAGCGUGGGGAGCACACAGG
rnacentral:rRNA from 1 species